rnacentral:rRNA from 1 species
GACAGAGGUGCCGAGCGUUAGGCGGAAUCACUGGGCUUAAAGCGUGUGUAGGCGGAUCGUUAAGUAUCUUGUGAAAUCCCACGGCUCAACCGUGGAACUGCUGGGUAUACUGGCGAUCUUGGGCCACCUAGGGGCAGAUGGAACAGACGGUGGAGCGGUGAAAUGCGUAGAUAUCGUCUGGAACGCCAAAGGUGAAGACAGUCUGCUGGGGGUGUGCCGACGCUGAGACACGAAGCCAGGGAGCGAACGGG